UCCUCCUUCUUAGGAAGCCAGCCUUGACCUGUACGGGAGCUGUCAUAUUUAGACAGAUUGGAGCUGAUGUGUUCUGUCACUUCAGGCUGAAUUUGUUUAUUUUCAUGUCACUUGCUUUCUAUCAUUCAGAACAGAAAGAAUGUCAGAGGUCGAAUUAACAACGUUGUUCACUUCACAUUUACAAGAGGCAUGGAAGCUGUGACAUUCUUGACAAGCCUUUCCCCUCAUGGACCUUUCCUUCUCCCACCUUCCUUCUCUUCGAUUCCCACAGGCUCCCGGCACCCCUUCACCCUCAUCCCACCAAGGCCCUGCCGUGGGAAUAGCAUCACCUAGAGCCCGGGGACCUGGAGCUGUGGGAUAGGUGACAUCCACCCAACGAGAAGCUCCUGAGGCGGCGCCGGUUCCUGCUGACACACUCCUUUCUCCUGCACAGCUCUAGGGAAGAGGAGAGUGAAAUCGUCACUUGGAGCCAUGUGCACCCCCCAGGAAGAGGGAGGAGAGGUCUCACUGACUUCCUUUAAAACAGUCCCAUGUGAAGCCUUUGGAAUGAAGUGUCCAUCCUGGGAAUUAGGUCAAAGGAGUCAAGUGACUUUCCUUAAAUCCUUUCUAGAAUCAGAUGAAGUAUAAAUAAACUAAGACACAAAAGGA